rnacentral:rRNA from 1 species
CGUACACUCCUGCGGGAGGCAGCAGUGGGGAAUUUUGGACAAUGGGCGAAAGCCUGAUCCAGCCAUGCCGCGUGCAGGAUGAAGGCCUUCGGGUUGUAAACUGCUUUUGUACGGAACGAAACGGCCUUUUCUAAUAAAGAGGGCUAAUGACGGUACCGUAAGAAUAAGCACCGGCUAACUACGUGCCAGCAGCCGCGGUAAUACGUAGGGUGCAAGCGUUAAUCGGAAUUACUGGGCGUAAAGCGUGCGCAGGCGGUUAUGUAAGACAGUUGUGAAAUCCCCGGGCUCAACCUGGGAACUGCAUCUGUGACUGCAUAGCUAGAGUACGGUAGAGGGGGAUGGAAUUCCGCGUGUAGCAGUGAAAUGCGUAGAUAUGCGGAGGAACACCGAUGGCGAAGGCAAUCCCCUGGACCUGUACUGACGCUCAUGCACGAAAGCGUGGGGAGCAAACAGGAUUAGAAACCCCAGUAGUCCC